AGUGAACGCUGGCGGUAGGCCUAACACAUGCAAGUCGAACGGCAGCACAGGAGAUCUUGCUCUCUGGGUGGCGAGUGGCGGACGGGUGAGGAAUGCAUCGGAAUCUAUUCUUUCGUGGGGGAUAACGUAGGGAAACUUACGCUAAUACCGCAUACGACCUACGGGUGAAAGCCGGUGACCUUCGGGCCUGGCGCGAAUGAAUGAGCCGAGGCCCGAUUAGCUAGUUGGCGGGGUAAGAGCCCACCAAGGCGACGAUCGGUAGCUGGUCUGAGAGGAUGAUCAGCCACACUGGAACUGAGACACGGUCCAGACUCCUACGGGAGGCAGCAGUGGGGAAUAUUGGACAAUGGGCGCAAGCCUGAUCCAGCCAUACCGCGUGGGUGAAGAAGGCCUUCGGGUUGUAAAGCCCUUUUGUUGGGAAAGAAAAGCAGCUGGUUAAUACCCGGUUGUUCUGACGGUACCCAAAGAAUAAGCACCGGCUAACUUCGUG
rnacentral:rRNA from 1 species